rnacentral:rRNA from 1 species
CACGUAGGGUGCGAGCGUUGUCCGGAAUUAUUGGGCGUAAAGAGCUCGUAGGCGGUGUGUCGCGUCGGCCGUGAAAACCUGCAGCUUAACUGUGGGCUUGCGGUCGAUACGGGCAUCACUAGAGUUCGGCAGGGGAGACUGGAAUUCCUGGUGUAGCGGUGAAAUGCGCAGAUAUCAAGAGGAACACCUGAGGUGAAGACGGGUUGCUGGGCUGACACUGACGCUGAGGCGCGAAAGCCAGGGGAGCAAACGGG